GGAUGUGAGGGCGAUCUGGCUGCGACAUCUGUCACCCCAUUGAUCGCCAGGGUUGAUUCGGCUGAUCUGGCUGGCUAGGCGGGUGUCUCCUUCCUCCCUCACCGCUCCAUGUGCGUCCCUCCCGAAGCUGCGCGCUCGGUCGAAGAGGACGACCUUCCCCGAUAGAGGAGGACCGUUCUUCGGUCAAGGGUAUACGAGUAGCUGCGCUCCCGUGCUAGAACCUCCAAACAAGCUCUCAAGGUCCAUUUGUAGGAGAACGUAGGGUAGUCAAGCUUCCAAGACUCCAGACACAUCCAAAUGAGGCGCUGCACGUGGCAGUCUGCCUUUCUUU
rnacentral:snRNA from 1 species